rnacentral:rRNA from 1 species
GGCCAGACUCCUACGGGAGGCAGCAGUGAGGAAUAUUGGUCAAUGGCCGGGAGGCUGAACCAGCCAAGUCGCGUGAGGGAAGACGGCCCUACGGGUUGUAAACCUCUUUUGUCAGGGAGCAAGGUGCAGGUCGGGACCUGCUGUGAGAGUACCUGAAGAAAAAGCAUCGGCUAACUCCGUGCCAGCAGCCGCGGUAAUACGGAGGAUGCGAGCGUUAUCCGGAUUUAUUGGGUUUAAAGGGUGCGCAGGCGGAGGCACAAGUCAGCGGUAAAAUCGCGGGGCUCAACCCCAUCCAGCCGUUGAAACUGGGGAUCUAGAGUGUGCGAGAGGUAUGCGGAAUGCGUGGUGUAGCGGUGAAAUGCAUAGAUAUCACGCAGAACCCCGAUUGCGAAGGCAGCAUACCGGUGCACAACUGACGCUCAGGCACGAAAGCGUGGGUAUCGAACAGGAUUAGAUACCCCAGUA